rnacentral:rRNA from 1 species
ACUCAAAUGAAUAGACGGGGAGGCGCACAAGCAGUGGAGCGUGUGGUUUAAUUCGAUUCAAAGCGAAAAACCUCACCAGGACUUGACAUGUAGCUGCAAGCGCACGGAAACGUGUGAUCUUCGAGAGUGCUACACAGAUGCUGCAUGGCUGUCGUCAGCUCGUGGCGUGAGCUGUACCGUUAAGUCGGGUAACGAGCGCAACCCGCAUUGCAUGUUAAAUAAUCAUGCAAAACUGCCCCGAUAUUAUCGGGGAGGAAGGCGCGGAUGACGUCAAGUCAGCACGGCUCUUACGUCCUGGGCUACACACACCCUACAAUGGCGAAUAACAACGAGCUGCAAGCCGGUAACGGUAAGCUAAUCUCUAAAAUUUCGCCUCAGUUCAGAUUGAGGUCUGAAACCCGACCUCAUGAAGCAGGAAUUGCUAGUAAUCGCGAAUCAGCAGGUCGCGGUGAAUACGUUCUCGCCUCUUGUACACACCGCCCGU